rnacentral:rRNA from 1 species
AACGAACGCUGGCGGCAUGCCUAACACAUGCAAGUCGAACGAGACCUUCGGUCUAGUGGCGCACGGGUGCGUAACGCGUGGGAAUCUGCCCUUAGGUUCGGAAUAACUUCGGGAAACUGAAGCUAAUACCGGAUGAUGACGUAAGUCCAAAGAUUUAUCGCCUAAGGAUGAGCCCGCGUUGGAUUAGCUAGUUGGUGAGGUAAAGGCUCACCAAGGCGACGAUCCAUAGCUGGUCUGAGAGGAUGAUCAGCCACACUGGGACUGAGACACGGCCCAGACUCCUACGGGAGGCAGCAGUGGGGGAAUAUUGGACAAUGGGCGAAAGCCUGAUCCAGCAAUGCCGCGUGAGUGAUGAAGGCCUUAGGGUUGUAAAGCUCUUUUACCCCGGGUAUGAUAAUGACAGUACCGGGAGAAUAAGCUCCGGCUAACUCCGUGCCAGCAGCCGCGGUAAU